CUCAGUUUGCGGAUGGACGCUGGCGAGGAAAGACGCACUUAUUUUCUCUCGCUCUUCCUACUUAAUGUUGUGUGUGAUGUGGGAAGAGGUUGGCGCAACGAAAAAUAUUGAUCAAAUUGUCCCAUAUGUUUCCAGGGCGGGUCAAUAAAUUCAGCUGUUCU